rnacentral:misc_RNA from 1 species
AAAAAAAUAAAAAUUAAACAUUAUUAUACGGAAACCAAUGAUAUUCUUUUCUUUAUAAAUAAUUUAUUUCAAAGGUUAUCAGGUAAAAUUCUUUAGCAGUGUUGGCGUCAAUUUUCACGAAAAAAGGGUAAAAAUUAAAAGUAUAAAGGGCAAAAAGAGGAGAGCUGAAAACGUGAUGGUUGAGCACUCUUGAAGCCGGCGUAAGUAAGGAGAGAGCUGGGCUUUCGAGAACGAGGAAGAGCUGACGCUGAGGCUUCGCUGCACACAAAUCGCUGAAAAAUUAAAACAUAAAGAACCGAUGCUACCAACCAAAUCAAGGAAGGCUUUGCUUGCCUCGCAACAACUCUUCAACAACACCGCAAUCUUCUCUAUAUCUUCUUCUUCUUCUGGUGCUGCUGCUGCUCUUUUCAGUCUUCUGAAUCUCAAUAUCCCUACCCGCCAACAAUUCUUCUACUCUUGUUACUGUUCCUAUUCGACUGCCCAUGCAAUUCCAGUUCAACAUCUCAGCUUCAAUCACAAGGAUGUGGUUCAAUCCUUUAAGGAAUGGUUUCAGCGCAGAAACUCUGGAUACUUGGAUCUGGUUUUCGAGAUUUUAAGCACCCAAGAUGAGGUGGAUGACCUUGCCCUCUCUCAAUUGGGUCUCCACCUCACCGAGUCAUUGGUCCUGGAAGUGCUUCAUCAUGGCAAUGGCAAGAAUGAUGUACUCUCUUGCCUUAAGUUCUUCGAUUGGGCUGGUCAUCAACAUGGGUUCUAUCACACUCGCGCUACCUUCCACGCCAUUUUCAAGAUCCUCUCUAAGGCCAAGCUUAUGCCUCUCAUGCUUGAUUUCCUUGAUAAGUUUAUGACUUCCAGGUUUGUUCAUCAUAAGUUUGGUUAUGGAUUUUAUGGUACUUUGGUAAUUGGGUACUCUGUGGCUGGGAAGCCGCAAGUUGCACUCCAACUGUUCAGUAAAAUGCGAUUUCAGGGUCUUGACUUGGAUGGCUUUGCUUACCAUGUCCUUCUCAAUUCUUUGGUCGAGGAGAGUUAUUUUGAUGUCGCUGACUGUAUUGCCAGGCAGAUUUCUCUGAGGGGGUUCGAGAACCAUGUAACGCGUUGUAUAGUAGUUAAGAGUUUGUGUAAGCAGGAACUGUUGGAUGAGGCCGCGUCAUAUUUGCGCCGGGUGAUCCUACACGGCGAUGGUUAUCGCCAUGGGGAUGCGGUGGGGGUUAUUAUGGAUGCGCUUUGUCAAAAUGGUCGGUUUGACAAGGCAGGGCAGUUGGUUGAGGAGAUUAGGGAGUUGGGGGUGGUGCCCGUGGAGCCCGCAUAUAGGGUGUGGCUUAGGAAUCUAGUUCAAGCUGGUAAGCUUGAUACGGCUUUAAAGUUCUUGCAGCAGAAGAAGUCAUUAGAUUGCUAUGUUCCUGGGGUUUGCGAGUAUAAUGCUUUGCUGUGGAGGGUCUUAAAAAAUAACCGUCUUGCAGAAGCGUGUGAUUUGCUGAUGGAGAUGAUGGAGAGUGGUAUUUCUGCUGAUAAGGUCACAUUUAAUGCUGCAUUGUGUUUCUUUUGCAAAGCUGGAAUGGUAGAUGUUGCACUUGAAUUGUUCAAUUGCAAAUCAGAGUUUGGGCUCUCACCUAGUAGCAUGGCUUGUAAUUAUCUCAUAAAUUCUCUAUGUAGGGAGGGGAACAUUGAUGAGGCUUACAAUUUGUUGACGAAUUUUACCGAGCAUGAUUAUUUCCCUGGUAGAAGAACAUUUUCUGUACUUGCAGAUGCAUUGUGUAGAGAAGGGAAGGUUGAUAUGAUGAAAGAGCUUGUUUCUGUUGCUCUAGAGCGAAAUUUCAUGCCAAGUGAUUACCAAUUUGAUAAGUUUAUAUCGGCUCUAUGCAGGGCUAGGAGGCUAGAAGAUGCUUACUUGAUGCAAGAUGAACUUAAUACAAUGAAUAUAGUUGCUAGAAAGACUACUUACUCAAACUUGAUUUAUGGUUUUAACGAAUUAAAAAAGGGAGAUAUUGCUGCUAGGCUUUUUAUUGAAAUGCAAACUAAAGGUUAUAUGGGUACUCGGACUCUGUUCAGAGCUGUAAUUGGCAGUUUGUGCGAUAUGCCAAACCCAGAAACUCAAUUCUUCAAAUUGUUGGAGGUGCAACUCUCUCUUCGUGAACCUAACUGUCAGAUAUAUAACUUCUUCAUUGAUGGAGCUGGACAUGCAAAGAAACCUCAACUAGCCAGAGAAGUAUUUGAUAUGAUGCAGAGAAGUGGGAUUGAGCCUAAUCUGGGUUCUGAUAUUCUUAUGUUACAAAGUUAUAUAAAGAGUGAGAAAAUAUAUGAUGCUCUAAAUUUCUUUGAUGCUUUGCGUCACAGAAGAAAGAUUGGCAGAAAGCUAUACAACACCAUGGUUGUUGGUCUUUGUAAAGUCAACAAAGUGGAUAUUUCAUUGUCCUAUUUGAGGGAAAUGCGGAGUAAUGGAGUGGUUCCUAGUGCUGAAUGUUAUGAGGAGCUUAUAAAGCUGCUUUGCUCAAAUGAACAAUAUGAAAUGGCAGUAAAUCUUAUUAUUGACUUGGAGAUAGCUGGGCGCCAUGUUACAUCCUUCAUAGGUAAUGUACUUUUGUUGCAUUCAUUGCGAAGUGGAAAGCUCUAUGAUGCUUGGGUUCGAGUAAGGGAGAUGCAGGAUGUGAUUUCUCCCAUUCUUUUAGUCCUUGGCCAACUCACUGGGAUAUUUUCACGUCGUGUUCAACUGAUUGAAGAAAUUAACAACUUGGAAGAAGUAAUUGAGCAAUGCUUCCCACUUGACCUUUUCACAUACAAUAUAUUGUUGAGGAGGCUAAGCAUCAGUAAAAUGGAUGAUGCUCUUGAGUUGUUUGAUAGACUUUGCCAGAAAGGUUAUGAACCUAAUCAAUGGACUUAUGAUAUCUUAGUACAUGGCCUUUUUAAGCAUGGAAGGAAAGAUGAGGCUAGGAAAUGGGUAGAUGAGAUGUUUAGGAAAGGGUUUGAUCCAACUCAUUGUACCUACCAACUCCUGAAUGGUAAAGCAAGUUAAAACAUUCGAAGUUCUACAAAAUUUUGCAAGGGAAAAAAAUUGGAUGCCUGAAGGUGAUUUAUCACAUGGAAUAUCUCAUUCUUCUUGGUGCAGUUUUAUUAAUCAUUUGUAAGAGAAAGAGUAAUGUGUAAUUUAUUAUUGUUGCUGUUCACAAUGGCAUUGGAUAAAAUUAAAAUGUAAUGUAGGACUGCCAUGAAAUUCAUAUUUUAGAGCAAUUGUAUGAUCAAUAUAAGUGGUUUAAAGCACAGAAAUGCAAGAGCUAAAUAAAUUAUUUAACAGUUACUUUGAUAAUAUCUGUGCAUUGAAAGGUGUAGGAUUCUUGUUCUUAACCUUACUUUAUCUGAGAAAGACAAAGCCUGACCAAAUGGGAUUCUAUUGGUAUAAAAAUUUGUCCUCUAUUGUGUGUAUGUACAUUGAUUUAGACGAUAUAAUCAAUAGUUUCCUUGUGGAUUAUAAUGAUUAUAAGUCUGUCGUCUUCUUCUAUGGUCAUAUUCAUAACUACAGUGACACCAUGUCAUUUUUAUUUUAUUUGUCUUGAGUCUUUCUUUGUUCUUCUCUUUUGGGUGCACAAACUACUUUUUCAAGUUGCAUUAGUUAUUUGUUUUGGAUCAAAAUUGGUGUCAUUAAGAUUAAGGCUAUGCUCAAUUGCUCACUAGCUAAAUGCAUGCUCUUUUAGUGAAAGCACAUACAGUAUCCCAAGUACCAUCAGACUGAAAAUACUUAUUCUCAUUUUUUGUAUCAUAUGAUCAAUCAAAUGAUGUUAAAUUGGUAAUUUUUUACUUUCUUCGAUUUGUUGAACUUUUAUGCCAGUACUAUCUGUUACUGCCUGGCUGUGUCUAGGUUUAGCCCCAAAUAUUUCUGUGAAUAUGAAAUAGUGUUUUUGGCAAUUUUAUUGCAAUAUGUUUGUCAAAAUUACAGUGGGAAGUGCUUGAAAAUGUAUAUGCACUGCAUCAAGUUUGUUUCAAUUGAAAUGGAUAGAAGUUGUACUCUUGAUUCCAGUUUCUGGUUUUGCUGACAAACUGUUAUGGUUAUUGGCAGUUUUGUUGUUUUACUGCGACACUUUCGGCAGUACAAUGUUUGCUUUGUGCCUAGCUGUGGCUUAUCCCAACUCAUGUUUGUCUGCUAUGGUGCCUUUAUAGGGUCUUUUCAAUUUUCACUAUUGGGCUUGGCUGAUUGCUACUCAGUUUGAUCUCAUGAAUUUAAGUUCUUGUUUGUUCUCAACACUUUUGUGCCUAUUAUGUGCAUUCUCCUCUUGUUUACUAUUCUGGCAUCAAUUACUGUCCUCUUGUUUUCAGUUGAAUCUUGUAGCCAGCAUGCUGGUUUCUCCAUAUUUUGUUUAUCUGCUGUAAACUCCAAGGGAACUAUGCUGAAGCUUUUAGUUGAUAGCUGUAUGCUGGAGAUUGCAGAGAACUGAUCCCCUUAUCACCUCUGUCAAUGGGUGUGUGCCAUGUGCAACAGUGCCUAGAUUGAUUUUGCCUUAUUUGAAAGAGGAGGUAGCCUAAUUAUUAUAUUUUUCUGUUGCUAUUUCUUUUUUUGUUUUUAAUGAUGAUUUACAUUUUAUCGAUGCCAUUAAUAUUUUUAUUAUUUAUGUGGGAAUAAUGGAUAAAAAAAAAGAUGGGAAAGAGCUCGGUUGUGAAAAAGUCAAUUGAAUUUGAUCCAUGCGGUUAAGAAUGGAUAAUUAUGAGUGCAUUCAGCAGAAUUACUAUGAUUAAUUGUUGCGGAGAUGUCUGAAAAUGAAUAUGGAAUUGGUGUAUGUAAAAGUGGAUAAAGAAAUCAGCAAAUGUCAAGUUGAACAGAUUUUGGAGAGUUGAUUCAUCAGGCUUUCUUUUUUUUAAGCUUAAUUAACAUGUAGAUAAUUAGUUUUAUAGCAAAUCAACCUUUAUCUAAGCUUAUAUAAUACUCUUCUUUCAAAAAGAUCAACCUUGCUAAUUAGUUGUGCCAUGUCUUGCUUCUACUCAGCUAAGCAGGGUUGUGUCCUACACGUCUAAACUCCUUUCAUUCUAUCUGCUCUAACAUUUUAAUCAUAAAUCUCUUCCUUAUGUUUUUCUCUUCCAGUUUUCUCCUAAAUAAGAGCAUGAAAGUGAAUUUAAUUACCUUUUGAUUGCUGUAAUAUUAUUUGUCCCACCUAAUUUUGUAUCACCUUGGGUAGCACAGACGUAACAACCAUUUGUUUUUUUUGAUGGAACGUACUAACUAUUUGUUAACACUUCACGCUAAUAAUUCUUAGGUGGAUAUAAUUUAUGACAAAUAGAAUGAUGUUACUUCAGGUGAGAAAAACUUAGCAUCAUUCCUGUACUUAGCAUGACUUUUUAACUAUGCAGGAAAAUCAUCUCAAGCUUUCUGCAAGGCAAAUGCAGAGCCCCAUUGUUGCAUCAAUCUGUUGACAUAACAUUUUGGACAGCGAUCUCUUGGCAAAAAUCAAAGGCAUGAAAAUGGUAGUUUUCAACCUCAUUUGGGUAGCUGGAAUAACAGCCAAGGAUAAUAUUAUUCUUAAGUGACUUAUCUUAAUCCAGCCAUAUAGGAUGAAUUGUUUUCUUUAUUAUUUAGGAUUUGACUUUGUUGAGAAGUACUUCAAAAAUAUUUUAAAAUUUUAAAUAUAUCAUGCUAAUAUAGAGAAGCAAAUCACCGAUAAGUAUGCAACGGAAACU